rnacentral:rRNA from 1 species
GGGCGAGCGGGGCUACCUGCAGUCGAGCGAUCUCUUCGGAGAGAGCGGCGGACGGGUGAGUAACGCGUGGGUAACCUGCCCUGUACACACGGAUAACAUACCGAAAGGUAUACUAAUACGGGAUAACAUACGAAAGUCGCAUGGCUUUUGUAUCAAAGCUCCGGCGGUACAGGAUGGACCCGCGUCUGAUUAGCUAGUUGGUAAGGUAAUGGCUUACCAAGGCAACGAUCAGUAGCCGACCUGAGAGGGUGAUCGGCCACACUGGAACUGAGACACGGUCCAGACUCCUACGGGAGGCAGCAGUGGGGAAUAUUGCACAAUGGGCGAAAGCCUGAUGCAGCAACGCCGCGUGAGCGAUGAAGGCCUUCGGGUCGUAAAGCUCUGUCCUCAAGGAAGAUAAUGACGGUACUUGAGGAGGAAGCCCCGGCUAACUACGUGCCAGCAGCCGCGGUAAUACGUAGGGGGCUAGCGUUAUCCGGAAUUACUGGGCGUAAAGGGUGCGUAGGUGGUUUUUUAAGUCAGAAGUGAAAGGCUACGGCUCAACCGUAGUAAGCUUUUGAAACUAGAGAACUUGAGUGCAGGAGAGGAGAGUAGAAUUCCUAGUGUAGCGGUGAAAUGCGUAGAUAUUAGGAGGAAUACCAGUAGCGAACGCCGCUCUCUGGACUGUAACUGACACUGAGGCACGAAAGCGUGGGGAGCAAACAGGAUUAGAUACCCUGGUAGUCCACGCCGUAAACGAUGAGUACUAGGUGUCGGGGGUUACCCCCCUCGGUGCCGCAGCUAACGCAUUAAGUACUCCGCCUGGGAAGUACGCUCGCAAGAGUGAAACUCAAAGGAAUUGACGGGGACAAGCACAAGUAGCGGAGCAGGUGUAUCAAUUCGAAUCAACGUGAAGAACCUUCCUUAACCUUGACAUCGCACAGAAAUUUCGGUAAUCGGAGAUUUCCUUUGGGGGACAGUGGUGACAGGCGGGGCAUGAUCGUGGUCAUCUUGUGCAGGGAGAUGCAGGAUUAAGUCCGACAACGAGCGCAACCGUCGCGAAGAGUUUCCAGCAUCAAGUGGGGCACUUUAGAGGGACUGUCGAGCAUAACUCGAAGGAAGGCGGGGAUGCCUUCAAAUCGUCUUGCGCCUUAGUCUCAGGGCCACACAGGCGGAUCAACGGGUGGGACUAGAGGGUUGACAAUCCCCGAGGUGGAGCUAAUCCUUUAAAGCCAUUUACACUUAGGAGGGUAGGUCGAAACUCGCCGACACGUAAGAUGCAAAAACCAGUAAUCUCAGAUCAGAAAUCCGGGGUGAAUAUGCCUCCGGGUAUGGUACACGCGUGCCCAGCACAGCAUAGAACUCGGGGGCGUCCGAAGUCCGCUCACUCUAUCCGAAGAGAACCCUCAUCUAAAUGAAUGAUGACCAUCGGCC